rnacentral:rRNA from 1 species
AUUGAACGCUGGCGGCAUGCUUUACACAUGCAAGUCGGACGGCAGCACAGAGAAGCUUGCUUCUUGGGUGGCGAGUGGCGAACGGGUGAGUAAUAUAUCGGAACGUACCGAGUAAUGGGGGAUAACUAAUCGAAAGAUUAGCUAAUACCGCAUAUUCUCUGAGGAGGAAAGCAGGGGACCUUCGGGCCUUGCGUUAUUCGAGCGGCCGAUAUCUGAUUAGCUAGUUGGUGGGGUAAAGGCCUACCAAGGCGACGAUCAGUAGCGGGUCUGAGAGGAUGAUCCGCCACACUGGGACUGAGACACGGCCCAGACUCCUACGGGAGGCAGCAGUGGGAAAUUUUGGACAAUGGGCGCAAGCCUGAUCCAGCCAUGCCGCGUGUCUGAAGAAGGCCUUCGGGUUGUAAAGGACUUUUGUCAGGGAAGAAAAGGCUGUUGCUAAUAUCAAUAGCUGAUGACGGUACCUGAAGAAUAAGCACCGGCUAACUACGUG